rnacentral:rRNA from 1 species
AGUGAACGCUGGCGGUAGGCCUAACACAUGCAAGUCGAACGGCAGCACAGUAAGAGCUUGCUCUUACUGGUGGCGAGUGGCGGACGGGUGAGGAAUACAUCGGAAUCUACUUUUUCGUGGGGGAUAACGUAGGGAAACUUACGCUAAUACCGCAUACGACCUACGGGUGAAAGCAGGGGAUCUUCGGACCUUGCGCGACUGAAUGAGCCGAUGUCGGAUUAGCUAGUUGGCGGGGUAAAGGCCCACCAAGGCGACGAUCCGUAGCUGGUCUGAGAGGAUGAUCGGCCACACUGGAACUGAGACACGGUCCAGACUCCUACGGGAGGCAGCAGUGGGGAAUAUUGGACAAUGGGCGCAAGCCUGAUCCAGCCAUACCGCGUGGGUGAAGAAGGCCUUCGGGUUGUAAAGCCCUUUUGUUGGGAAAGAAAAGCAGCAGGUUAAUACCCCGCUGUUCUGACGGUACCCAAAGAAUAAGCACCGGCUAACUUCGUG